AUGUGCAGGGGGCUCGGGUGCUCACCCAUGGGCCUUGGCCCGUCUACAGAGGGGGUAGAGGCAGGCCGGCCUGGCGGAUGCUGGCUGGGCCAGCUCACGGGAAGUGGUCCAGACGUGACGGCGCGGUCAACGAAGGUUGUCGCGACUGCAGUCCCCUCCUCUCGAACAGAGGCAGGAGCGGGACUGGCGCUGGUCGUCGUCCCCGCACACAGAAGCAGGAGAGGCCGGCGAGGAGGUCUUGGCGGUGCAGCGGGUAAGCUAGGGACGCCGGGAUCUGAUGUAGGCCGGACCCAUCUCGGCCAGAUCGGGUCGAAAACGGGGCGCGGCGGCGAUCUGGAGACGGGGAUGCAAGGCCUUGGCGCGGCUGCAAUGCAAGAAGCAGUAGAAGCAGCUGGCAAAGCGGUUCCGUGGACUUGGCGGGGCGACGGGUCAACGCGGGGUCGAGCGGCGCUCGAUGCAGAGGCAAUGCAGCGGCUGUGGCAGGCGCGAGGUUCACCAGAAGGGUAG
rnacentral:rRNA from 1 species